UCAAAGACAACGGUUCUUAAUUUUAUUGUAGUAGAAAGCAAGGAGAACGGUUUUCUUUUAGGCAGAUAGACAAGACACUAAAACCGUACUCUUUUAAUUUUCAUAUUUUUAAAAUAAUUAUACAUAUGAUAAAACAUUUUGGUUUGUUUCAUUCCAAGCUUUGAGAUCCAUCGUCUUCCCACCGUCUUCCCAUUGUCGAACCCUCAACUCUUCCCACCGUCUUCCCAUUGUCGAACCCUCAACUCUUCCCACCGUCUUCUUCGUCUCCUUGUGCGGUUCAUUUUCACCAUUCAUCAAAAUCAUCUCUUCCAUUCCUCUUUUAUUCUGCAAAAUCAACAUUGAAUCGCGACUUGUCUUCAAUAAUUUGCUUGCCUGCACCCACAAACACCAUGCUUAGAAAAAGAAUGCUAGCAACUUGGACACCAGACCAAGAGUUCAACCAAGUGAGGCAGAGAGGUCAGGUGCAGACAUGAAGAGGAAGCUUAAAUGUUCAAGUUCCUGUUGUUGGCGGAGCUUUCAGUUAUUUAAGAUUAACCUUUGGAGAAUUUAUGGGAUAUUUUUCUGGGGCAAAUAUACUAAUGGAGUAUGUGUUCUCAAAUGAUGCUGUAGCUAGGAGCUUUACAGAAUAUUGAGUUUUGCUUUUGGAGAAAAUACUCCAAAUGUAUGGAGAGUUGAAGUCCAUGGAUUGCCAAAUCAACAACUUCAAGCUUUUAGAACUUUUAGAUAAUUAAUUGGAUAUAUGUUAGUUAUUAGUUUGAAAGAUAAUUGUAUGUUGUAAUUGAUUUUGUGUAUAUAUAUAAGAAGGUUUAUUAAUAAAUGGACUACAAUAUAAAUAUCAAUUUUUU